rnacentral:lncRNA from 1 species
AUGCUUAAUGACUAGUUGGAAAAAAAAAAUGUGUUCAUUCAUGAUUAAGUUCACGACAAAAAAAUUUAAGUGAUCACAACAAAAUUUUUGAUUGCUGAAUUAAACAGAUAGGGAUGGAGACUGAAGCUUUGAUUUCAUUGGUAUGAGGAAAAUACCAAGGGAAGAAGUUCUGUUUAACAAUGCAGGUCGGCCCCUUCUCUGAAACUUUGACAGUAUUAGAGAAUUGCUUAGAGUACUGCAGAGUGAGUGCCUCGCCCAGGUUCCCCCAGCCAGCAGGUGUUAGAAGCAAUACUUGCACUCAGGUUUCCUGAAAUCUGCUCUCUACAUAUUAUAAAAAUACCUGGUGCUAAUUUUUUUGCCAUAUGCCCAAAGAAGAGAUAAAGCAAGUAGAAGUAAAAUUGAUCAUAGAUCAUAAAAACGGAAGAGACUUUAGAUAAAAUCUAUUCCAACGUCUUCCCAUCAAGUUACAGAUGUACCUCUUAAAGUGUCUUGUCCAACAAAGUCCCAUGGCAAGUUGGUGACAGAGCUGAGACCAAGCCUAAGUCUCCUGACUUCCCAGUGCAGUGCUCUGUCUACUACACCAAGGGGAAAGAUGUUCAGAGCCUAUGACAUCAUAAAAGGCACCUUCAGUUUCCAGUGGGCCACCCACUUUUGGCACUUUCAAGAGGCAGCAGCUGGUAACUUUUACUUUGUAAAGUGAGUAUCAAGGCUCCAAGAUCCCAAGAAGAAAACACAUGCUUUCUGUGGGGAGAUAGCUACUCCCUGAACAGCUUUCCAACCAAGAACUCUCAACCAAAGCACUGCCUGUCAGAGUUGGUGCACUCAGGGUGAAAUUGGCGAGCAGAAUCUCCUGUGAAAGGAUCCUUUGGUUCCAGAGAAGAACAAGCCUGAAGUGCUGGAGCACGGCCAUAGACAAAAGGUCCUAGUUACGACUGGGAGGACCUUAACUGACUGAAGAGGAAGCAGUGCACAAGUAAAAGCAAAACCAGAAAGACUCGAUUCCAAAGGAUCUGAGUCCUGACUUCAGUGGAACUCAAGAAAAGUGAGGGGUUUGUAAAGUAGUUAAAAGCAACAUAUAAGGACAACAGCUGAUCAUUCAUUGUCAUCCUAAAACAAAGGAAAUGAGCAUUUAUUAAGCACCUACUAUAUACUAGGUGCUUAAAAAAUAUUAUCUCCUUUGAUCUUCACAACAGCCCUGGGAGGUUGAUGUUGUGAUCAUCCUCACUUUACAGUAGAGGAAACCCAGGUAAAUAGCAGUUAAGGGACUUACUCAGGGCCACACAGCUACUAAGUGUCUGAGGUCAAAUCUGAACUCAGCAGAUAGAAGAUGAAAUGGUUAGAGCACUGGGCCUGGAGUCAGGAAGACCUGAGUUCAAAUCCAGCUUAAACACUUACUUAGCUGUGUGACCCUGGUCAAGUCUUUUAACCCUGUUUGUCUCAGUUCCUCUUUGUAAAAUGAGCUAGAGAAGGGAACUGGUAAAUUAUUCCAGUAUCUUUGCCAAGAAGGGUCACAAAGAGUAGGACACAGCUGAAAAAUGACUAAACAACAACAUAACUUCCUGCUUCCAGGCCCAGCACUCCAUCCACUGUGCCAGCUAGCUCCCUCUAAGAUAGCUAUAGUACAGGGCAGGUAGGUGGCUCAGUGGAUAGAGCGCUGGCCCUGAAGUCAGGAGGACCUGAGUUCAAAUCUGGCCUCAGAC